rnacentral:tRNA from 1 species
GGGCGGUUAGCUCAAUUGGCAGUAGCGUCUCGUUUACACCGAGAAGGUUAUAGGUUCGAGUCCUAUACCGCCCACAA